CCUCCCUGCAUCGCCCUCUGCAGACCCACAUUUCCGUCUGGCAUCAUCUCCCUUCAGCCUGAGGAGCGUCGGUUGGUAUUUCUCACGGUGCAGGUCUGCUGGUGAUGAGCUCUAUCAGACUAAUUCGUCUAUGACGACGACCCUGUGUCUUCCGGCUUGCACGGUCUCUGAAGUCUGCCACAACUGCAUAUUUGCUCAUCUCUGUGUGGUGUGCAUGUGUAUCCGUCUUGCUGCUCAGAGAGGUUCAGCUUGAAUCUGUGAGAGUGCGGGGUCUCGACUUAGUGGCGGUCAGGCUCCUUUAUUCGGUCAUUGCAAAGGCCAUUUUCAAGCUUUUCUGGGGUGAGUCUGGAAGGGCCGUUGCUCCAGAGACAACUGGCCCUAUUACUAGGGUCGGAUUUCUCUGGGCCUCCACUGAGUGAAGGUGACCCUGAGGGCUCACCGCCCUGCUCGGCUGGAGCCCAUUGCCCUGCCCUGGGAGAGCUCUGGAAGCGGCCCUGCUUGCACUUCUCUGUCCUUCCUUUACCGGGGCUGCCGGGGCUUUAUUCUCUGCGUCUGUGGCCGGCGCACGGGGAACACUCAGAGGCGCUCUCCGCAGACCCCCGGGGCUCUCCUUUGCCCAGUUCCUCCCUUUCAUGGCUCUGCAACCGCUGGUCCCUCUCGCCCCCCCAGGCUCCACUUCCUGUUUCUGCAGUGCCACAAGGCUGCUGAAGUUGUUUGGCACCCCCCUCCCUGUGCCUGUGGCCCAGAAAUUGCCAUCUGGCGGAAAGCUGCGGGACCCUGGAGCCCAGCUCAUUUGUUUUCCCCUCUUUCAAGUACUGCAGUCCUGCGCUGUUGUCCAAUGUCUCAAGAGCGGUUUCAUGUUUUGUCCGGUUUCCUAGUGUCUAUGAGAGGAUGCUAAAGCCCAGCCACACACAGCCGUGCAUGCUGGCCAUGCUGCGGCCCCAGAAUAACCACUCCUGAAGAGGGAGCUGAUUCGAGCUGCACCCCGGCAGCUGCUCCUUCUGGCCAUCACUCAAGCACACAGCUGGGCGCCAAGACCUGCUCUCCUGUGCUUGACCCCUGGGCUUCCAAAGAGACACAAAAGCAGCCGUGAGGAGUUCAGAUGGUGAUAUUCCUGGUCUCCAGGGCAUGUGGACAAGGUCCCGUGUUCAGGAUAGACCAAAGAAGAAAAUGCUCGGUAAAAACGCCCUAGUAUUGGAGGAAAGAUGCUCCUAUCCCCUGCAGCCAUGAGCGCGACAGCCAACUGUCUGGAGGGGGAAUGCGAAUGCGCGCACCUUUGGCCCAGAGACCACGCUUCCAGAUGCCCGUCUGACAACAGACUCCCAGGAGCACCCCAUAUAUGCUAGGACAUCCACCACAGCUGUCUCAGGAGCCCAAAACUACAAGCAGAUGCGCUCACCAGCAGCGCUCGCACACUUAGAGAUCUGCGGCAGACAGGGUGUAGGGCGGGCUUGGAGAGGGGCAGGGGGUGGGACAGCUGCGACCUGGGGGACGGGGACAGGCCCUGGGAGGAAGGCAUCACCUUUUCACCCAGAACUUGGCGCUCUUUUUCCUUCACUUCCCAACCCCAAGGCCUGUCACCCAGCCAGACCAGGCGGGAGCUGCUCCGGAGGGCAUCCCACACCUUGGCGUGGUGAGCGGCAUGCACACGUGGCCUGGGCACAGGAGGUGCUGACCCCAGCAGCCCCCCCGCGCAGACACACCAGUAACCCCCGAGAAGCCCAGCUUGGGCCGUGCCCUCGGGGCUACUCAGGCUUUCCGUGCGGCGGCUGCCUUGCACGCAGGUCAGACACCUGUGUUUUUUCAAGCACAGCCUUGGCUGAGCAGCUGGUCCUGGCUGCGGGUCCGGUCAGCUUGGAUGAGUUUUUUACAUAUGACUGACCUAAGAAUAUUUUUCCAAUUGGGUUAUUUUUGAGGUUAAAAAAUAAUUAUCUUGGAAGUUUGUGACUCUUCAAUCACUACUGUGGUUAAUCUAGUUCUCUGUAAUAUUCAGCUCUGAUUCUGUGUAUUUUAGGGUUGAUUUUAAGCCAUUUAACUCUUCCUGGGAUGCAUUUCCGUGUGCAGGAGGGGACGGAGUUAAGAUCGGAGCUGACCGCUGCCUCCGGGGGGCUCUGCUGGGGGGGGGCCCUCCUAGGCAGGCUUGGCAUCGCUUAAGGAUGUGCGCUGACGUCUAGAAGGCCGAGUCCUGCUAUUACCUCUUCCCCAUGAAUUCUGUUCGUUGCCCCAGGACUUGAAAAUCCACUUAUUUAGCUUCAAGAGAAACUGUUGAUAUUUUUAUUAGAAUCACCCUACGUGGUUACUUCGCUUUGGAGAAAGCUGCUUCGUCCGGGGUCUAUAUUUUCGAAUCAGCAGUGCUUGGUCUCUUCCCCAUCACACACUUCUCUGGACACACCGGAUCCCUAGGCUGCGGACUCACCUCUCAGGCUCCUUCCCCCGUCAGCUCCCCACACACCUUGACUGAGCCCGAUCGUGUGCCCGCCAGUGCUGGCCAGGGGUCAGGGAGCAAGGCCCACGCCCCCCAAUCUCCGGCCAACCGGGCAGGACGCAGAGGAAUGAGGGAGCAGCAAGCUGGGCGGGUGAGCAGGAGACGAUGGCCCUCGGGGCGGCCGGGCAGGCGGGGCCACGGGCGGCCACCGCAGGACUGUCUGCGAGA